GCCAACGAUGAUACCACGUUGAAUACACCAGUUCCCGUAAGAUCACUGAAGUUAAGCAACGUCGGGCGUGGUCAGUACUUGGAUGGGUGACCGCUUGGGAACACCACGUAUCGUUGGCUUUU
rnacentral:rRNA from 1 species